rnacentral:rRNA from 1 species
CUUCUUAUAGCUGCUGCCGGUGGACCAUUAAACUCUUGUUAUUUUAUGUAAUCUGAGCGUCUUAUUUUAAUAAGUCAAAACUUUCAACAACGGAUCUCUUGGUUCUGGCAUCGAUGAAGAACGCAGCGAAAUGCGAUAAGUAAUGUGAAUUGCAGAAUUCAGUGAAUCAUCGAAUCUUUGAACGCACAUUGCGCCCAUUAGUAUUCUAGUGGGCAUGCCUGUUCGAGCGUCAUUUCAACCCUUAAGCCUAGCUUAGUGUUGGGAAUCUACUUCUCUUAGGAGUUGUAGUUCCUGAAAUACAACGGCGGAUUUGUAGUAUCCUCUGAGCGUAGUAAUUUUUUUCUCGCUUUUGUUAGGUGCUAUAACUCCCAGCCGCUAAACCCCCAAUUUUUUGUGGUUGACCUCGGAUCAGGUAGGAAUACCCGCUGAACUUAAGCAUAUCAAUAAGCGGAGGAAAAGAAACCAACAGGGAUUGCCUUAGUAACGGCGAGUGAAGCGGCAACAGCUCAAAUUUGAAAUCUGGCCCUUGGGUCCGAAUUGUAAUUUGUANAGGAUGAUUUUGGUGCGGGAUCNNCCGAGUUCCUUGGAACAGGACGCCUUUAGAGGGUGAGAGCCCC